rnacentral:lncRNA from 1 species
UAAUAAAGUCCUGCAUGGUUACCUAUCUGCUGUUUGUUUAUUAUAGAGCUUCCAAGACCCGUUUUCAAAAGUCUCAUGGAUUUUCUAGAAACAUGCUGUUGUUUUCCAGAAAAGAGGAAAAAGAAUGUCCACCCUGCCUUUGCUCAAAGGCCCAUGGACGCAGUGCACAAAUUAGAGAUGAG